UGCAAGUCGAACGGAAGUUUAAGCAAUUAAACUUUAGUGGCGAACGGGUGAGUAACGCGUAAGCAAUCUGCCCCUAAGACGAGGAUAACAGUUGGAAACGACUGCUAAGACUGGAUAGGAGACAAGAAGGCAUCUUCUUGUUUUUAAAAGACCUAGCAAUAGGUAUGCUUAGGGAGGAGCUUGCGUCACAUUAGUUAGUUGGUGGGGUAAAGGCCUACCAAGACUAUGAUGUGUAGCCGGGCUGAGAGGUUGAACGGCCACAUUGGGACUGAGACACGGCCCAAACUCCUACGGGAGGCAGCAGUAGGGAAUUUUCGGCAAUGGAGGAAACUCUGACCGAGCAACGCCGCGUGAACGAUGAAGUAUUUCGGUACGUAAAGUUCUUUUAUUAGGGAAGAAUAAAUGAUGGAAAAAUCAUUCUGACGGUACCUAAUGAAUAAGCCCCGGCUAACUAUGUGCCAGCAGCCGCGGUAAUACAUAGGGGGCAAGCGUUAUCCGGAAUUAUUGGGCGUAAAGGGUGCGUAGGCGGUUAAAUAAGUUUAUGGUCUAAGUGCAAUGCUCAACAUUGUGAUGCUAUAAAAACUGUUUAGCUAGAGUAAGAUAGAGGCAAGUGGAAUUCCAUGUGUAGUGGUAAAAUGCGUAAAUAUAUGGAGGAACACCAGUAGCGAAGGCGGCUUGCUGGGUCUUUACUGACGCUGAGGCACGAAAGCGUGGGGAGCAAACAGGAUUAGAUACCCUGGUAGUCCACGCCGUAAACGAUGAGUACUAAACGUUGGGUAAAACCAGUGUUGAAGUUAACACAUUAAGUACUCCGCCUGAGUAGUACGUACGCAAGUAUGAAACUUAAAGGAAUUGACGGGACUCCGCACAAGCGGUGGAUCAUGUUGUUUAAUUCGAAGGUACCCGAAAAACCUCACCAGGUCUUGACAUGCUUCUGCAAAGCUGUAGAAACACAGUGGAGGUUAUCAGUUGCACAGGUGGUGCAUGGUUGUCGUCAGCUCGUGUCGUGAGAUGUUGGGUUAAGUCCCGCAACGAGCGCAACCCUUAUUGUUAGUUACCAGCACGUAAUGGUGGGGACUUUAGCAAGACUGCCAGUGAUAAAUUGGAGGAAGGUGGGGACGACGUCAAAUCAUCAUGCCCCUUAUGACCUGGGCUACAAACGUGAUACAAUGGCUGUUACAAAGGGUAGCUGAAGCGCAAGUUUUUGGCGAAUCUCAAAAAAACAGUCUCAGUUCGGAUUGAAGUCUGCAACUCGACUUCAUGAAGUUGGAAUCGCUAGUAAUCGCGAAUCAGCAUGUCGCGGUGAAUACGUUCUCGGGGUUUGUACACACCGCCCGUCAAACCACGAAAGUUGGCAAUACCCAAAGCCGGUGGCCUAACUUCGCAAGAAGAGGGAACCGUCUAAGGUAGGGUCGAUGAUUGGGGUUAAGAA
rnacentral:rRNA from 1 species